rnacentral:rRNA from 1 species
UCCGGGGGGGGCAAGCGUUGUUCGGAAUUACUGGGCGUAAAGGGCCAGUAGGCGGCCAACUAAGUCGGACGUGAAAUCCCCAGGCUCAACCUGGGAACUGCGUCCGAUACUGGAUGGCUUGAAUUCGGGAGAGGGAUGCAGAAUUCCAGGUGUAGCGGUGAAAUGCGUAGAUAUCUGGAGGAAUACCGGUGGCGAAGGCGGCAUCCUGGACCGACAUUGACGCUGAACGGCGAAAGCUAGGGGAGCAAACGGG